GUCUACAGCCAUACCACCCUGAACACGCCCGAUCUUGUCUGAUCUCUGGAGCUAAGCAGGGUCGGGCCUGGUUAGUACUUGAAUGGGAGACCGCCUGGGAAUACCGGGUGCUGUAGGCU
rnacentral:rRNA from 1 species